UCAUAAGACAGCACCUCAGGAUUCUAUGCAAGAUAGUAUCUCUCUGAAAUCUUUCAUUUAUUUGCAGAUUUCAGAAACAACUUCAGAUUUUAAUCUAAGGAAAAUAUUAAUAUAUGGAGUCAUCAUAUCUCAAAAAGUAUACUUAGAAUUGGGUUAUUCAAAAAACAUUGUAAUUAGUGGUUAAAAGGACCAUUCAAAUGUUGAUGUUUUAACUCCUGGUUAAUGUAUUUUUUCCAUGUUCUAUGUUUGUAUAAUCCUAUAGGGAGUCAUAGAAUUUGAUUGUCUAUGACAAUUUUUCUUAUCUUAAUGAUUUUAAAUGAAACAGUAGAAAUUUCCAAGCAUUACAAAUUCUGGUUUUGGUAAUAAACAGAAAUUGAAAACAUUAAUUCUUCAGGACAUCACAUAAGUGUCCUAGAGGUAUGAAUAGCACAAUAACGUUUGCUGCCAUGGACAUAAGUUUUUAAGCCAGCACAUAUUGAACAUUGAUAAAUUUGUAUUGAAUAAUAAAAUGAGAUAGCCUUAGUUAUAAAAAGUAUAAUACUUAGAAGAUAUUUAUUUAAAUAAAUUGUGUUCUGCAUUGUUUGAUAUAAUAACUAUUGGUGAGCAUUUUAUUACUAAAUUUAACUCAUAAGCUUUAAAACUCUAUUCUGCCCAACUUAGUUAUUCAUUUGUAUAGCUCUCUUUAUGUGUAUACUAACAUAUGUGUGCUUGCACACAGAUGCAGAAGGAAGGUGAUGGGCUACCUGAUUUUUACAUGGUCCAAUAGUCAGGCUUCAUCCAUGAGGCUGGAGACUUCAUAUCUU
rnacentral:lncRNA from 1 species